UAAGGUAUAGCUCAGUUGUAGAGUGCAUGCUUAGCAUGCACAAGGUCCUGGGUUCAAUCCCCACUAUCUUCA
rnacentral:tRNA from 1 species